CCUCCCGCUGCCCCGGGCUGCGCUGGCCCGAGCGGCCCGGCCGGGGCACGGCCCGCGGGCUCGGCCUGCUCCCCGCGCCCGCCGCGCCGCCCGCGCUCCGGCCCGAGCCGGAGGACGAGGAGAGAGUGCCACUGGCAGAGCUGUCACUGAUGAACAAGUUGAUCCACACGUCCCUGGUGGAGUCCCAGCAGCACGUGGAGAUCCUGCAGCGAGACCCCAGCUCCCCACUCUUUUCCAUCAAGACCUUCGAGGAGCUGCCCCUGAAGAAGGAGCUCUUGCAGGGGGUUUAUAUGAUGGGCUUCAACAGACCAUCCAAAAUCCAGGAGCAGGCUCUGCCACUGAUGCUGGCAUACCCGCCCCAAAAUCUGAUUGCCCAGAGCCAGUCAGGGACAGGGAAAACAGCAGCUUUUGUCUUGGCCAUGUUGAGCAGAGCCAGUGCCAGCGAGAAAUAUCCACAGUGCCUCUGCCUGGCUCCCACCUACGAGCUGGCUCUGCAGAUCGGGCAGGUGGUGCGCACCAUUGGGAAGUUCUGCACUGACAUCAAGGUGAACUACGCUGUCCGGGGAAACCGAGUUUUGAAGGGCACGGUGCUGGAGGAGCAGAUCAUCAUCGGAACACCGGGCACCACGCUGGACUGGUGCUUCAAACAACGCAUCCUGGACCUGACAAAGAUCUCCUUGUUCGUGCUGGAUGAGGCUGACAUCAUGAUCGACACGCAGGGCCUCUCCUGUCAGAGCAUCCGCAUCCACAGGGCUCUUCCCAAGAGCUGCCAAGUGCUGCUGUUUUCAGCCACUUACAAGGAGCCAGUGCGGGCCUUUGCGGAGCGGAUCAUCCCCGACCCCAUCGUGAUCAAGCUGCGUGAGGAGGAGCUCACCCUGAGCAACAUCAGGCAGUACUUCAUGGUGUGCCAGAGCUCAGAUGAGCAGUACAAGGCCCUCUGCAACCUCUAUGGCAGCUUCACCAUUGGUCAGGUCAUGAUCUUCUGCCAGACCCGGAGGCUGGCAGACUGGCUGUCGGGGAAGAUGAGCCGGGACGGGCACCAAGUGGCCAUCCUGACAGCAGAGCUGACGGUGGUGCAGCGGGCCAGCGUCAUCCAGCGCUUCCGUGAGGGCAAGGAGAAGGUCCUCAUCGCCACCAACGUCUGUGCCAGAGGCAUUGAUGUGCAGCAGGUCACCACGGUGGUGAACUUUGGCCUCCCCGUGGAUCAGGACGGCGAGCCAGAUUUUGAGACCUACCUGCACCGCAUUGGGAGGGCGGGACGCUUCGGGCACCGCGGCAUCGCCUUCAGCGUGGUGCAGAGGGAGACCGUGCGGCUCGUGCACAAGAUUGAGGAGUAUUUCCGCAUUUUUUCUGCCUUUCCUUGCAAGGGCUUGUCCCAGGGGACCUGGUGCCCCAGCUCAGCCCUGGCUGUGGGAGAGGAGGUGGCAGCUGUGGAAAUCUUUCCUGAGUGGAAAUUGAUUGUCACUUCCUAACAUCAAGAGGAUUUUCAUGUGAUUUGCCAGAUGGCAGAGCUGCACUGAUGGUUUUUUGAAUCCCAGUGCCUGUUUUCCCUGUGAUUUUUAGAGGAAAGAAGGUUAUAGAAGCCUUCUGAUGGGCAGGAAACUGUCCCUUCCACAUCUCCAGCCUCAGAGCCACUCAGCCCUCUUGGUUCCGUCAAAUGUCCACCUGUCCUUGGAACCUGGAGUGAGCCUGAGGCAGACACCAGGCAGAGAAGACACGAGCCAAACAUUCUGGCAAAGAUUGUUGCCAUGGAGUAGAAGCAAUGAGCAGCUGGAACAACUGGCAUGUGGAUGAGCCCAACCACAGCCAUGGGCAGAAGGAGCCAGUGUGAGGAUGAACCCCCAGCGAUCUGACUUGUGCUUUUCAUGUUGUGAUGUUGCAGUUGGAGGGUACAGACCCUCCCUGUCCUGCAUGGCUGUGGAGAGACCACGAUCAAGCAGCUGGAUCCAUACGACAUGGACGAGCUGGAGAAGCUUGCAGCUGAGUGAGGAGCAGGGAUUCGUUCUCCCAAAUCUAAGUUGCAGUUCUAAACAGGAGGAAAAGUUACAGGGGAAGACUUCCCGGUUCUCUUGUAUCCUGAAGCUGUUGAGUUUUGUUGUGUUGCCUGAGGAGAGGCUGGAGCGAACCUUGUGUCGCUAGAUGGCAGCAGGAAUCCACUGCUGCCAUCCCAGAUCCCGGGGCAAAAUCCGAGUGUUCAGGGUCCCGGCAGUGCAGGAGAGAGGUUGGACCCCCGGGGGUUCCGAAAUCCAAGUGUUCAGGAUCCCAUCGGUGAGGGAGAGAGGUUGGACCCCAGGAGUCUGAAACCCAAAUGUUCAGGGUCCCAGCAGUGUGAGGACAGAAGUUGGACUCAGGGACUAGACUGUGUUUGUGCCUUUGUUAAUCUUUAAUAAAUGAAAUUGUUUGUAA